rnacentral:rRNA from 1 species
GAUGAACGCUGGCGGCGUGCCUAACACAUGCAAGUCGAACGGAGUCCAGCCUUUAAGACCUUCGGGUCAAAGAGGGGAAGACUGAGUGGCGGACGGGUGAGUAACACGUGGGCAACCUGGCUCAUAGAGGGGGAUAACAGAGAGAAAUUUCUGCUAAUACCGCAUAAGCACACACUGCCGCAUGGCAGAGGGUGAAAAGAGAAUCGCUAUGAGAUGGACCCGCGUCUGAUUAGCCAGUUGGCAGGGUAAGAGCCUACCAAAGCGACGAUCAGUAGCCGAUCAGAGAGGAUGAACGGCCACAGUGGGACUGAGACACGGCACAAACUCCUACGGGAGGCAGCAGUGGGGGAUAUUGCACAAUGGGGGGAACCCUGAUGCAGCGACGCCGCGUGAGUGAAGAAGUAUUUCGGUAUGUAAAGCUCUAUCAGCAGGGAAGAUAAUGACAGAACCUGAAUAAGAAGCCCCGGCUAACUACGUG